rnacentral:rRNA from 1 species
AUUGAACGCUGGCGGCAUGAUUUACACAUGCAAGUCGAACGGUAACAGGCCGCAAGGUGCUGACGAGUGGCGAACGGGUGCGUAAUGCAUCGGAACGUGCCCAGUCGUGGGGGAUAACUACUCGAAAGAGUAGCUAAUACCGCAUACGAUCUAUGGAUGAAAGCGGGGGACCGGAAGGCCUCGCGCGAUUGGAGCGGCCGAUGUCAGAUUAGGUAGUUGGGUGGGUAAAGGCUCACCAAGCCAACGAUCUGUAGCUGGACUGAGAGGACGGCCAGCCACACUGGGACUGGGACACGGCCCAGACUCCUACGGGAGGCAGCAGUGGGGAAUUUUGGACAAUGGGCGCAAGCCUGAUCCAGCAAUGCCGCGUGCAGGAAGAAGGCCUUCGGGUUGUAAACUGCUUUUGUACGGAACAAAACGGCUCUGGUUAAUACCCGGGGCUAAUGACGGUACCGUAAGAAUAAGCACCGGCUAACUACGUG